rnacentral:rRNA from 1 species
GACGAACGCUGGCGGCGUGCCUAACACAUGCAAGUCGAGCGGGGAGGAGGAAGCUUGCUUCCGAAUCCUAGCGGCGGACGGGUGAGUAACGCGUGAGCAACCUGCCUUGAACUGGGGGAUAACGCAUCGAAAGAUGUGCUAAUACCGCGUAAGACCACAGUACCGCAUGGUACAGGGGUCAAAGGAGCAAUCCGGUUUAAGAUGGGCUCGCGUCCGAUUAGCUAGUUGGUGAGAUAACAGCCCACCAAGGCAACGAUCGGUAGCCGACCUGAGAGGGUGAUCGGCCACAUUGGAACUGAGACACGGUCCAG